GGAAUAUUGGACAAUGGGCGAAAGCCUGAUCCAGCAAUGCCGCGUGAGUGAUGAAGGCCUUAGGGUUGUAAAGCUCUUUUACCCGGGAUGAUAAUGACAGUACCGGGAGAAUAAGCUCCGGCUAACUCCGUGCCAGCAGCCGCGGUAAUACGGAGGGAGCUAGCGUUGUUCGGAAUUACUGGGCGUAAAGCGUACGUAGGCGGCUUUGUAAGUAAGAGGUGAAAGCCUGGAGCUCAACUCCAGAACUGCCUUUUAGACUGCAUCGCUUGAAUCCAGGAGAGGUGAGUGGAAUUCCGAGUGUAGAGGUGAAAUUCGUAGAUAUUGGGUAGAACACCGGUGGCGAAGGCGGCCACCUGGCUCGCAACUGACGCUGAGGCGCGAAAGCGUGGGGAGCAA
rnacentral:rRNA from 1 species